rnacentral:rRNA from 1 species
CAGUCGCCGCGGUAAUACGUAGGGUGCGAGCGUUAAUCGGAUUUACUGGGCGUAAAGCGUGCGCAGGCGGCCCGUUAAGACAGGUGUGAAAUCCCUGGGCUCAACCUAGGAAUUGCGCUUGUGACUGGCGGGCUCGAGUACGGUAGAGGGGGGUGGAAUUCCUGGUGUAGCAGUGAAAUGCGUAGAGAUCAGGAGGAACACCGAUGGCGAAGGCAGCCCCCUGGGCCUGUACUGACGCUCAUGCACGAAAGCGUGGGGAGCAAACAGGAUUAGAGACCCGCGUAGUCCCUGUCUCUUAUAC